ensembl:piRNA 21ur-1680 ncRNA
UACUGAAUGUUUCAAUACCUC